rnacentral:rRNA from 1 species
AUUGAACGCUGGCGGCAUGCUUUACACAUGCAAGUCGAACGGCAGCACGGGAACUUGCUCCUGGUGGCGAGUGGCGAACGGGUGAGUAAUACAUAGGAACGUAUCCUGUAGUGGGGGAGUAACGCAGCGAAAGACUGUGCUAAUACCGCCAUACGAUCUACGGAAGAAAGACGGGGGACCGUGCAAGGCCGUCGCGCUAUUGGAGCGGCCUAUGUCUGAUUAGCUAGUUGGUGAGGUAAAGGCUCACCAAGGCGACGAUCAGUAGCUGGUCUGAGAGGAUGAUCAGCCACACUGGAACUGAGACACGGUCCA